rnacentral:rRNA from 1 species
UACGUAGGGUGCAAGCGUUAAUCGGAAUUACUGGGCGUAAAGCGUGCGCAGGCGGUUAUGUAAGACAGAUGUGAAAUGCCCGGGCUUAACCUGGGAAAUGCAUUUGAGACUGCAUGGCUAGAGUUUGGCAGAGGGGGGUAGAAUUCCACGUGUAGCAGUGAAAUGCGUAGAUAUGUGGAGGAACACCGAUGGCGAAGGCAGCCCCCUGGGUCAAGACUGACGCUCAUGCGCGAAAGCGUGGGGAGCAAACAGG